GAGGUUGUAUGCUGGGCGGUACCUUUUAUAGCAAGCUGCCCUUGGGAGGCGGGACGCUCAGAGCGAGCGAAAAGCCAAUCCACAGCGGAGGAAGGCGGGGCCUGGAGGCCGUGCCUGACCAAUCCCGAGCAGAUGGGAGCUCACCCCCCCCCCCGGAGGUGGAGAAAUCACGCGCCUGAAGCGCGAGGCUGUUGGGAAAUGGGGAAUUGGGGGGUAGAGUUGAGAUUCUGGGGCUGAUUUGGGGAAGUCAGAGGGCUAGGGGGAGGGUUCUUGGGGGGUGAGGGAUAUAUGGGGACGCUGGGGGCCGUGGAAAAUAAUGACUAUGAGGUCUUUGGGGGGGAUCUCAAGAAAGCAAGCGAGCUUCUCUGGAAGCCUCUCCGGGAGGCCAGCACCUUCCAGGGCUGCUCCAGCUCGUCUCCAGGGAAGUCCCAUCCUCUCGGUCUCCUCUCCUGGCCCUUGGGUCCCAGCCCUUGACCUGGGCUCACCUCGCCCAGCUAGAGCCCACUGCAGGUCCUCCCCACCUCCUGCACCUUGGUGGGCCAGGGAGGCUGCUCUGGGCCUGCCGCCCACACCCCUUGCCCCAGCACACGGCGUGGGCCUGGGCUGCAACAGGUAGGAUGAUGUGCUUGGGGCUCUGGGAGACAGGGCUAGGACGGAGCGCUCCUUAAUCCAGACAGCACUGGGCACCCCAGAAAAAGACGGGCGAGUGCUCCAGGUCUCCAAGGUAUCAGGUGAGCAAGCUACGGGGCCAGUGACUGACUCCACACUGUGGCUCAGGAAGGUUUAUUGCCCCAGCCCCCCCGCAGGCCACACUUCCCUCCCUUCCCAA